CUUCAUAUAUACAAACGAGUGUUGGUAGUUUGGACCUUCAACUUUCGCUUAACACUAAUUGCUUUUCAGGCAUUAGGUGCUCGAGGAAAGUCUAUCUGGAAGAAAGUUCAUUUUUAAUUAAGCGAAUAAUAAGGCAAUUAAGGAAAAAUGGAGGACAUCUGUUCUGCUCUCCAGUAAUAACCGCACAGGUUGUACGAGAAAGUCAAUCAAAAUGUAGUGGUGUCAGGAUCAUCCAGCGGACUGCUCAUACCCCCC